rnacentral:ncRNA from 1 species
UCUGUCGCAAGUCAGGGGCUGAAGGCAGCGUCAUAGCAAAUCCACGACUCGACGAAGAGGAAUCGGAUAGUAGGCAGUGCAGAUGGGACGAGUUCGCUAAACAGAACGAAGUCCUCCCUCCAUCAAAGGUCUGUGCUGUAAAUCCGGCGAGUGCGUGGUGAAAGUCGAGGAAC